rnacentral:rRNA from 1 species
UACGUAGGGUGCGAGCGUUAAUCGGAAUUACUGGGCGUAAAGCGUGCGCAGGCGGUUUUGUAAGACAGAUGGGAAAUCCCCGGGCUUAACCUGGGAACUGCGUUUGUGACUGCAAGACUCGAGUACGGCAGAGGGGGGUGGAAUUCCACGUGUAGCAGUGAAAUGCGUAGAGAUGUGGAGGAACACCGAUGGCGAAGGCAGCCCCCUGGGUCGAUACUGACGCUCAUGCACGAAAGCUAGGGGAGCGAAUGGG